rnacentral:rRNA from 1 species
CCUGACCCUACUAUCAAUUGUUUCUUAAAUUACACAUGCAAGUCUCAGCACCCCCGUGAGGACACCCUUAAUCCCUUAACCAGGCUAAGGAGCUGGUAUCAGGCACAACAUUUGCCCACAACACCUAGUCUUACCACACCCACAAGGGUAUUCAGCAGUGAUAAAUAUUGUUUAUAAGCGACAGCUUGACUCAGUUAAAGAAAGUAGAGCCGGCCAACUCGGUGCCAGCCGCCGCGGCUAAACCGCACGGGCUCAAAUUGAUAAUAAUCGGCGUUAAGCGUGAUUAAAGUUCUUCAAUAAUUAGAAUAAAAUCCACACUUAGCUGUGAAAAGCUUGAUGUGAGAGAAGAUCAAAAACGAAAGUUAUUCUAAUCAAUUACUUGAAUACACGACAGCUAGAAAACAAACUGGGAUUAGAUACCCCACUAUAAAGAGAAA